rnacentral:rRNA from 1 species
CAGCAGCCGCGGUAAUACGUAGGGGGCAAGCGUUAUCCGGAAUUACUGGGUGUAAGGGGAGCGUAGACGGUUAAACAAGUCUGAAGUGAAAUGCCGGGGCUCAACCCCGGAGCUGCUUUGGGAACUGUAGAACUGGAGUGUCGGAGGGGUAAGCGGAAUACCCAGUGUAGCGGUGAAAUGCGUAGAUAUUGGGAGGAACACCGGCGGCGAAGGCGGCUUACUGGACGACAACUGACGUUGAGGCUCGAAGGCGUGGGUAGCAAACAGGAUUAGAUACCCCUGUAGUCCCUGUCUCUUAUAA